CGCUGGCGGAAUGCUUUACACAUGCAAGUCGAGCGGCAGCAUGACCUUCGGGUCGAUGGCGAGCGGCGAACGGGUGAGUAAUACAUCGGAACGUACCUUUUAGUGGGGGAUAACGCAUCGAAAGAUGUGCUAAUACCGCAUAAUCUCUGAGGAGGAAAGCGGGGAUCACGUGAGUGACCUGUCGCUGAAAGAGCGGCCGAUGGUCGAUUAGCUAGUUGGCGGGGUAAAAGCCCACCAAGGCGAUGAUCGAUAGCGGGUCUGAGAGGACGAUCAGCCACACUGGGACUGAGACACGGCCCAGACUCCUACGGGAGGCAGCAGUGGGGAAUUUUGGACAAUGGGGGAAACCCUGAUCCAGCAAUGCCGCGUGCAGGAUGACUGCCCUAUGGGUUGUAAACUGCUUUUAUAUGGGAAGAAUAGCAUAGAUUCAUCUGUGUAUGACGGUACCAUAUGAAUAAGCACCGGCUAACUCCGUG
rnacentral:rRNA from 1 species